rnacentral:rRNA from 1 species
CCUACGGGAGGCAGCAGUGGGGAAUAUUGCACAAUGGGCGAAAGCCUGAUGCAGCCAUGCCGCGUGUGUGAAGAAGGCCUUCGGGUUGUAAAGCACUUUCAGCGAGGAGGAAAGGUUAGUGGUUAAUAGCCACUAGCUGUGACGUUACUCGCAGAAGAAGCACCGGCUAACUUCGUGCCAGCAGCCGCGGUAAUACGAGGGGUGCAAGCGUUAAUCGGAAUUACUGGGCGUAAAGCGUGCGUAGGUGGUUUGUUAAGCAAGAUGUGAAAGCCCUGGGCUCAACCUGGGAACUGCAUUUUGAACUGGCAAGCUAGAGUUUUGUAGAGGGUAGUGGAAUUUCCAGUGUAGCGGUGAAAUGCGUAGAGAUUGGAAGGAACAUCAGUGGCGAAGGCGGCUACCUGGACAAAGACUGACACUGAGGCACGAAAGCGUGGGGAGCAAACAGGAUUAGAUACCCUGGUAGUCCACGCCGUAAACGAUGUCAACUASCCGUCUGUWGACUUGAUCUGUGGGUGGCGUAGCUAACGCGCUAAGUUGACCGCCUGGGGAGUACSGCCGCMRGKUUAAAACUCAAAGGAAUUGACGGGG